CCUACGGGCGGCAGCAGUAGGGAAUAUUGCUCAAUGGGGGAAACCCUGAAGCAGCAACGCCGCGUGGAGGAUGAAGGUUUUCGGAUUGUAAACUCCUUUUGUUAGAGAAGAUAAUGACGGUAUCUAACGAAUAAGCACCGGCUAACUCCGUGCCAGCAGCCGCGGUAAUACGGAGGGUGCAAGCGUUACUCGGAAUCACUGGGCGUAAAGAGCGCGUAGGCGGGAUAGCAAGUCAGAUGUGAAAUCCUAUGGCUUAACCAUAGAACUGCAUUUGAAACUGUUAUUCUAGAGUAUGGGAGAGGUAGGUGGAAUUCUUGGUGUAGGGGUAAAAUGCGUAGAGAUCAAGAGGAAUACUCAUUGCGAAGGCGACCUGCUAGAACAUAACUGACGCUGAUGCACGAAAGCGUGGGGAGCAAACAGGAUUAGAUACCCCAGUAGUC
rnacentral:rRNA from 1 species